UUUGACUUUUGUUCUUGCACUUAAUUUAAGCACGGUAUAAAAACUCUUUAUAAUUUGUGUUGAAUGCUUAACGAGAUUUGAUUCUUUAGUUUUACAAAACGGAAUAAUAGGAAAUAUGAAUUGUAUAAACUUUGCUCAAAGUUUUGUAACUGUAAAAACCGCAAAACCUGAUUUAAAUCUCAUUUAAUGUUUCUUUCUCUUUUUUUAUGUUAUGGCGCACAGACAGCUCACCAACUCCAAUCCGGAUGCACUACGAGCUGCUUACAGCCACAUGGGAAAUUCUCACUUAAAUCCUCAGGAAAUCGGCCAACACUGAGAUGUUGAUUGUUUGUACACACUACUCGUCGACACAUAAUGUGGCUGGUUGGCCGAUCGGUUGGACAUUUGGCUGGUGGCUGGUUGCAUGAAUACUUACACAAGUGAUUCUACCUGGAGAUGAUCUCGCCUAUCCAGUAGAGAGAUGAUGGAGUGGAAAGAAAGUGGAGUAUAAAGAGAAAUUAUCCGACAGCCGACUCUGUGAACAGAUAACGCCUCACCAGUUUCCUGGAUGUAACCCUGGUGGAACUCACCAAUUUUUAAAGGAAAGGCAUUUGUCCAGUUGUUAACAGCAAGUUCGAUGCGAUAGAUGUAAUCUCCGACUAACGACGGAAGCCGA